GGCGGCCAUCUUGCUCCACACCAGUGGAGAGCGUGUGCUUGCCAGUGACCCUUCACAGCAUGGGACUGAAUUCCCCUGGCUGCUCCGACAGAAGCGAUGGAUGUCACCGACUCACCCGUGAUUACACAGUAAUCUGACCCCAACAGGUUCU